AACGAACGCUGGCGGCAUGCCUAACACAUGCAAGUCGAACGAACCCUUCGGGGUUAGUGGCGCACGGGUGCGUAACGCGUGGGAAUCUGCCCUUGGCUUCGGAAUAACAGUUAGAAAUGACUGCUAAUACCGGAUGAUGACGAAAGUCCAAAGAUUUAUCGGCCAGGGAUGAGCCCGCGUAGGAUUAGGUAGUUGGUGGGGUAAAGGCCUACCAAGCCGACGAUCCUUAGCUGGUCUGAGAGGAUGAUCAGCCACACUGGGACUGAGACACGGCCCAGACUCCUACGGGAGGCAGCAGUGGGGAAUAUUGGACAAUGGACGCAAGUCUGAUCCAGCAAUGCCGCGUGAGUGAUGAAGGCCUUAGGGUUGUAAAGCUCUUUUACCCGGGAUGAUAAUGACAGUACCGGGAGAAUAAGCUCCGGCUAACUCCGUGCCAGCCGCCGCAGUAA
rnacentral:rRNA from 1 species